AUUCCUUUCUCGGUUUUUUGGCUAAGAGUGAAGUAUAUGUUCUUAUCAGUUUAAUAUCCGAUACGUGGACCAUUCGUUCACACGACAUUAAACUUAUUUUUUAAGGGAGAGGGCCAAUUGCAGUGGCUUGCUACUGUGGCUCUUGAGCAUUGCCUUUGCUUUUCACUACUGCAAAUGCUGGGUGCAUCCCUC